AGUGAACGCUGGCGGCGUGCCUAAUACAUGCAAGUCGAACGGAGUGACGCACGGGUGAGUAAUGUAUCGCUAAUCUGCCCUACACUAGAGGACAACAAUUGGAAACGGCUGCUAAUACUCUAUAGUGUAGGAUGAGGCUAUAUUGUAUCAGCUAUUUGGUGAGGUAAUGGCUCCCCAAGGCUAUGACGCAUAACUGGUCUGAGAGAAUGAUCAGUCACACGGGAACUGAGGCACGGUCCAGACUCCUACGGGAGUCAGCAGUAGGGAAUAUGGCUCAAUGGGGGAAACCCUGAAGCAGCAACGCCGCGUGGAGGAUGACACUUUUCGGAGCGUAAACUCCUUUUGUUAGGGAAGCGGUACCUAACGAAUAAGCACCGGCUAACUCCGUGCCAGCAGCCGCGGUAAUUC
rnacentral:rRNA from 1 species